AAUGUUUCCAGUACAGUAUCCAGGAAUUGUACUAUUUUCAAGAUUUUAACAAUAUUCCUCAUAAAGCUAUGCAUGUCCUACUCUUAUACUCCAUACGUUCACGGCGUACAAAGCUGUAACACAUUUCUCCAAGUAUCUGUGCUGAGGGACAACUUAAACUCCUAGGGAGGGUGGAUGAUAUGGAUAAGUUGGGAUGA
rnacentral:ribozyme from 1 species